rnacentral:tRNA from 2 species
GCCCCGAUAGCUCAGUGGUAGAGCAUCUCCAUGGUAAGGAGAAGGUCAAGAGUUCAAUCCUCUUUCGGGGCU